CGACAGUAAUGCAGGUUAGUACGAGAGGAACCCCUGUUUCAGACAAUUGGUAAAUGCGGUUGCUUGAAAAAGCAAUGCCGCGAAGCUACCAUCUGUUGGUUUAGGGCUGAACGCCUCUAAGUCCGAAACCAUGCUGGAAAGCGUCGAUAUACACCUCUCCCAAUGUUAUACGAGUACCGAUACGUCUUUUGACAUGUACCAUACAAUUGCGACGCACUGGAAAUUAAAUUCCGGGAGAUGCUGAAUCACAAUUUCAAAUAUCGGGAGGGAUA
rnacentral:rRNA from 1 species